rnacentral:tRNA from 1 species
GCCUCGGUUUUGUAAUGGAUCAACGGAACAGACCGGAUAUCUGUAAGUGCAGGUUCGAGUCUCGCCUGGGGUU